rnacentral:rRNA from 1 species
AGAGUUUGAUCCUGGCUCAGGAUGAACGCUAGCUACAGGCUUAACACAUGCAAGUCGAGGGGCAGCAUGAACUUAGCUUGCUAAGUUUGAUGGCGACCGGCGCACGGGUGAGUAACACGUAUCCAACCUGCCGAUGACUCGGGGAUAGCCUUUCGAAAGAAAGAUUAAUACCCGAUGGCAUAGUUCUUCCGCAUGGUAGAACUAUUAAAGAAUUUCGGUCAUCGAUGGGGAUGCGUUCCAUUAGGUUGUUGGCGGGGUAACGGCCCACCAAGCCUUCGAUGGAUAGGGGUUCUGAGAGGAAGGUCCCCCACAUUGGAACUGAGACACGGUCCAAACUCCUACGGGAGGCAGCAGUGAGGAAUAUUGGUCAAUGGACGAGAGUCUGAACCAGCCAAGUAGCGUGAAGGAUGACUGCCCUAUGGGUUGUAAACUUCUUUUAUACGGGAAUAAAGUGAGGCACGUGUGCCUUUUUGUAUGUACCGUAUGAAUAAGGAUCGGCUAACUCCGUGCCAGCAGCCGC